rnacentral:rRNA from 1 species
UACAGAGACUGCAAGCGUUAUUCGGAUUCACUGGGCGUAAAGGGUGCGCAGGCGGCCAAGUGUGUUAGGCGUGAAAGCCCCGGGCUCAACCUGGGAAUUGCAUUCGAGACUGGAUAGCUAGGGUACGGAAGAGGGAAGCGGAAUUUCAGGUGUAGCGGUGAAAUGCGUAGAUAUCUGAAGGAACACCAGUGGCGAAAGCGGCUUCCUGGUCCAGUACCGACGUUCAGGCACGAAAGCGUGGGGAGCAAACAGG